rnacentral:rRNA from 1 species
UAGCUAGUUGGUGAGGUAAAGGCUUACCAAGGCGACGAUCUGUAGCGGGUCUGAGAGGAUGAUCCGCCACACUGGAACUGAGACACGGUCCAGACUCCUACGGGAGGCAGCAGUGGGGAAUUUUGGACAAUGGGGGCAACCCUGAUCCAGCCAUGCCGCGUGAGUGAAGAAGGCCUUCGGGUUGUAAAGCUCUUUCGGCCGGGAAGAAAUCGCAUGGGCCAAUACCCUGUGUGGAUGACGGUACCGGAAUAAGAAGCACCGGCUAACUACGUGCCAGCAGCCGCGAUAAUACGUAGGGUGCGAGCGUUAAUCGGAAUUACUGGGCGUAAAGCGUGCGCAGGCGGUUUUGUAAGACAGGCGUGAAAUCCCCGGGCUUAACCUGGGAACUGCGUUUGUGACUGCAAGGCUAGAGUACGGCAGAGGGGGGUGGAAUUCCACGUGUAGCAGUGAAAUGCGUAGAGAUGUGGAGGAACACCAAUGGCGAAGGCAGCCCCCUGGGUCGAUACUGACGCUCAUGCACGAAAGCGUGGGUAGCAAACAGGAUUAGAUACCCUGGUAGUCCACGCCCUAAACUAUGUCAACUAGGUGUUGGGUGGGUAAAACCAUUUAGUACCGUAGCUAACGCGUGAAGUUGACCGCCUGGGGAGUACGGCCGCAAGGUUAAAACUCAAAGGAAUUGACGGGGACCCGCACAAGCGGUGGAUGAUGUGGAUUAAUUCGAUGCAACGCGAAAAACCUUACCUACCCUUGACAUGCCAGGAACUUGCCAGAGAUGGCUUGGUGCCCGAAAGGGAGCCUGGACACAGGUGCUGCAUGGCUGUCGUCAGCUCGUGUCGUGAGAUGUUGGGUUAAGUCCCGCAACGAGCGCAACCCUUGUCGUUAAUUGCCAUCAUUUAGUUGGGCACUUUAACGAGACUGCCGGUGACAAACCGGAGGAAGGUGGGGAUGACGUCAAGUCCUCAUGGCCCUUAUGGGUAGGGCUUCACACGUUAUACAAUGGUCGGUACAAAGGGUUGCCAAGCCGCGAGGCGGAGCCAAUCCCAGAAAGCCGAUCGUAGUCCGGAUUGCAGGCUGCAACUCGCCUGCAUGAAGUCGGAAUCGCUAGUAAUCGUGGAUCAGCAUGUCACGGUGAAUACGUUCCCGGGUCUUGUACACACCGCCCGUCACACCAUGGGAGCGGGUUCCGCCAGAAGUAGGUAGCCUAACCGCAAGGGGGGCGCUUACCACGGCGGGGUUCGUGACUGGGGUGAAGUCGGAACAAGGUAGCCGUAGGGGAACCUGCGGCUG